rnacentral:rRNA from 1 species
UACAGAGGUCUCAAGCGUUGUUCGGAUUCAUUGGCGUAAAGGGUGUGUAGGUGGCGCUGCUAAGUCGGGUGUGAAAUUUCCGGGAGCUUAACUCCGAAACUGCAUUCGAUACUGGCGUGCUUGAGGACUGGAGAGGAGGACUGGAAUUUACGGUGUAGCAGUGAAAUGCGUAGAUAUCGUGAAGGAAGACCAGUGGCGAAGGCGGGUCGU